UUUACACGCACCUGUUGAACGUUACGACACUGCGGUCAACAUUAGCGAUAUAUUUAUAGAGAUAGAAACGUGAACGGAUCAAACGUCAAGUGGAACUUGGACCAACAAGAGACCAGUUUUUGCAAAAAAUCGAAACAAUGAAGUUGAUUUUGGCAAUUGUUCUCUUUUCGGGAUUGUUGUUGCAAGGUAAGAAAAAAACAUAAUUUUAAAAAGAGAUUAUGGGUACCGUAUAGUGGGUUAUUUUGUCGGGAGUAAAAUUUCGCGAUUUUCAUUGCAUAAGGUAUACGUAAUAUUUUAGCGGCUAUUAUUUUUGGCGGAUUCAAAACUUUUAUCAAUACCUUUGCAUGUACACUUUUAAUUUUGCGGAAUAUAUUUUGGCCAUUUUGUUCUAUCCACGAAAAUAAGCGAAAACUUUUACCCUGCGAAAAUAACCCGCUAUACGGUAUUAUAGCCCAGUAGUCAACACCUCUGUGUUUUGUUCUGCGUUGACAUGAAUUAUCAUUGCUAUCAUAGCUAUGGUCAUAAUUAUAAAUUAACUGUUUAAAAAACUUUGUUUUUUUUAAAUAAUAAGGCCUUUCUACCUCAGAAAUGGAUUAUAUUAUCUCUAUUUGGCAAAACUUUUAAGAACUUUUGGUCCUACAUGCUGUUCAACUUUGUACUUAAUUUGGCCUUUUUAACUUAUUUUUAUUCGAUCGUCACUGCUGAGUCUUUUGUAGACAAAACGCUCGUCUCGCGCAAAUACAAAAUUUCAAUCCUGAUAUCUAUGAUGACUUGAUGUAUAGCCCAAUUCGUGUCUCGAAAAGUGAUAUGGGUAUGGGUUACAUAGUUGAUUUUAGAAUAAGAAUCAUUAAAUCAUUAUAUGCCCCCACCCCCCACCCCCUUUUCAUCUUUCUCUUCAUCUUGAUUUUGUAUUAACUUUGUAUUAUAAAUCAAAUUUAUUCAUUCACUUGUGUUGAUAUGUCUUUUGAUUCGAUUAAGCCAUUUCAGUUGAUAUUUUAUAGUGUGUCUUUCUAUGUUGUGAGGUUAACACUAUUUUUUGUCAGGUAAGGGUGAAUGUUUGGUACCCAUUAAAACGUUUAAACCCGCGGCAGUUGUUUGCACCUGUCCUAAGUCAGGAAUCUGAUGUUCAGUAGUUGUUUCUAGUUUCUCGUUUUUUUUUAUAUUGAUUAGACCUUUGGUAUUCCCGUUUGAAUGGUUUAACACCUUGCAAUUGUGAGGCCCUUUAUAGCUUGCUGUUCGCCAAGGCUCCGUGUUGAAGACCGCGCUUUGACCUUUACUGGUUUACUUUUAUAAAUUGUGACUUUGAUAAAGAUUUGUCUCAUAGGCACUCAUACCACAUCUUCUUAUAUUACCCCCUUCUUAUAAAAUUUGAAAGUUUGUGAAUGUACGCUUUUUCAAUUUCAGGGCAAAACAUGGCUAUGUAUGUGCCUGUCCCAAGUCAGGAGCCUGUAAUUCAGUGGUUGUCGCGUUUGUUUAUGUGUUAUAUAUUUGUUUUUCGUUAAUUUUUUUUAUAUAAAUAAGGCCGUAGUUUUCUCAUUGUUGAAGGCCGUACGGUAACUAUAGCUGUUAAUUUCUGCAUGUGUGAUUUUGGUCUCUUGUGGACAGUUGUCUCAUUGACAAUCAUACCACAUCUUCUUUUUUAUAUCUAGUUACUAUCGUUUAAUUUAAUUUUUAAUUUUGUCUUAAAGUUGUUCUAAAUUGCAUUUGUAAACGUCUAUAAGUCUACUGCUACGAGGGUCUUGCACGGUCAGCCCCCAUUUUUGAAACAUUUUUCAUAACAGGAAUUCGUGAAUGAUAACAUAUCGCAAUUUUACACUGACGAUUAAGAUGAAGGUAUGCACACGAAUAUUUUUUUGCCAAGUCUUAUAAUUUAUCUACAUAAAACUUUCACGCAUGUACAUAUUUUAAUAAUAAAGAACAAACUACACAAAUCUCACAUGAACCUAUAGACCAAAAACUGGGGCUUCUAGACUACACGAAUCAGAAGGAUUGCGAUAUUCUGUUGCAAUAUUGACGCAACAGUUCAAGACGACAAGGAUAACAAUCGGUUGACACUUUCACUGACAGCAUGACGCAAGAUCCACGAAAACCGAUUUUAUUCAUGCCGUCCUUACACAAGUUAUAUUCUAAUCCAGUGGCAUGUAGCUCUAAGUCUCAAUGGACAGUCACAUAAAACAUUGAAUCGAUGGCGAUGGCGAUGGCAUAUGGAUCCCUCUCCCUCUCCAGUCACACAGCAGUGAUUAUAAGCUACCAAAUAUUGUCCACAAUGUAACAUCAUUUGUUUUGGUUAUUACGAUCACGUGGUUCAAAGAGUAUUCCAUGUUUUGGUUAUUACGAUCACGUGGUUCAAAGAGUAUUCCAUGUUUUGGUUAUUACGAUCACAUGGUUCAAAGAGUAUUCCAUGUACUGGAAGGUUUGCUUCUCUUUUAAAGUAUACUAGAAGAUGCCCGCGGAAUCGCGAUACAAUUAGACAUGUGUUGAAACGAAGAGUUUGAGCACAGUAAUAAGGUGGGCACAGUAAAAAAUUAAAUGAUUAAAACACGAUUAAGGUAGCUCGGGACUAUUCGACUGCGCAUAAUUUCACGCAUGGAUUACAAAAGUAUUUGUCGUUAAUUCGAUAAUUUUUUUUUAAUAUUUUGAUUGAUUAGAAAUGUUAAAUCAUUGUAGUUAUGUGAAUAAUAGAAUAUUUUCGUUAUAAUCCCUAUUUGUUAAAGGGUCAAAUGACAUUUCACCCACUUUUACCAUUUUCCCGUCAAAAUUUGGGUUUUACGGUAAAAUAUAUUUUUUUCCUUAUCGGUGACCUAUUUUUUUUAUUUGCUCAUUCUAUGAAGCUAUAUUUUAGCUUUUUAUACUACAGUUUUGGACCAUGUGUCAUAGAACGUUUUUUUGAUAAUCCGAUAAAAAUAUUCACACCUCUAUUCCCUAUCAUUUCAUUGAAAAAUGGUCCCUUUUACAUACCUGUUUAAAAGUAAAAUUUUGAGCUUAAAUGGUCCGUGACCCCCUAUUUUUUUCGACCAAUUUGAUUCAAUUUCUGUAAAGAAUAAAAUAACAAAAAAUACGGCACUUCUGAUAGAAACUUUUAAUAGGCCCCGAGCCACCUUAAUGCAUUUAAUUCUUUUGCAUUAAAGAGAUGAAAAUCUGGAACAUAAUGCAAAAAACACCCACUCAUCUUUGUUUGAAAAUAGCAUAUCAAGAUACCAUACUUAAGUGUGACAGAGUGUGAUUUUCACUUUUACCCUUUAAGCUCAAUAACCGUAUGAGGUACUUCCAAUCCGUUUACCGACUGGGACAAAAAUGAGUAACACAAUGGAAAAACACUCAUCUUAAUCGGAUAAAAAAACAAGAGGCUGUCACAACGACAGCAAACCGGAUUUAUUAACAUUUAUUUGUGUCCUGGCAAUAUCACAAGAACCAUAACUGAUUAACGUGAAAGUGAAAAUCGUCAAUAUCAAAUUUGACCUCCAUUUUGUCAUCCGUAUCAACAUAUUAAAAUUUGAAAGAGUUUAGGUUGAAUGGUUCAUGAGUAAAUGCAAGAACAUGAAUGGAAACGCCAUUUUUUUAUCUUUCAAGAACUAUAACUCCUGAAUGGUAAAAGUCAAAAUCGUCAUUCUUGAACUUGACCUCAAUUUUGUCAUCAGUAACAAAAUAUUAAAAUUUGAAAAGCUUUGGUUGUUCAAUUCAUGAGUAAAUGCACGGACACGACUGGAAACACCAUUUUUCAAUCUUUCAAGAACCAUAACCUGAACGGUAAAAGUCAAAAUCGUAUUAUUGAACUUGUCAAUGACCUCCAUUUUGUCAUCAGUAACAACAUAUUCAAAUUUUGGUAGCUAUGGUUGAACAGUUCAUGCGUAAAUGCACGGACACGACUGGAAACACCAUUUUUCAAUCUUUCAAGAACCAUAACUCCUGAACGGUAAAAGUCAAAAUCGUAUUCUUGAACUUGUCAAUGACCUCCAUUUUGUCAUCAGUAACAACAUAUUAAAAUUUGGGUAAGCUUUGAUUUAACAGUUUAUGCGUAAAUGCACGGACACGACUGGAAAUGCCAUUUUUCAAUCUUUCAAGAAUUAUAACUCCUGAAUGGUAAAAGCCAAAAUCGUCAUUCUUGAACUUGACCUUCAUUUUGUUGUCAGUAACAACAUAUUAAAAUUUUAAAAGCUUUGGAUGAACGGUUCAUGAGUAAAUGCACGGACAACAUUUGGUUGCCGCCCGCCCGACCGCCCGCCCGACCGCCCGACUCAUUAGGAGUCAACCCCUCUAGAAUCUCUGUUGACAUACUCAAGUUGCAGAACUUUAUUAGCAUUAAAUAAAACUCCAUUAAAAUAUGUUGAAAAACAACACCCACACGUCGACUGAUCAUGCGCGAAAUCGUAUGAGAGACUGAUUGAUGACGAUCUCAAAAUUUGGAUAUUAAAAAAAAUGGCGUUUUCUAUGGAAAAAAAUUGUUUCAAAGACAAAUUAAGGAAGUACACAACACUACAUUUAUACCUCAUAUCACAAAUAUUUUCAAAUUUGUAUUAAUAUGUCUUAGAGGGGUUGUUGCUCAAUGAAAUCAGCUUCUUCCUUUGGUCGGGAAUGACGCAGAUAUAAGACGUUCCGGUCCGAAAUGACUAUCAAAAACACAAAGAGUAUGAAAGUCCAUUUCCGUAAUACAGUAUUUACAUAUACUGAUCAGUGGCGGAUCCAGAAAUGUUCAUAAGUGGGGACCCACUGACUGCCUAAGAGGGGGCCCGCUCCGGUCAUGCUUCAGUGAUUCCGUAUAUAAUCAACCAAAUUUUCUCCAGAAAAGGGGGGCCCGGGCCCCUGCCCACCCCUAAAUCCGCCUCUGCUGAUAUGCUAUAUAAAUUAAGGACUUCUGACAAUGUGAAUAAAGUCUUGUUCAGAUGACAUUGCCUUCGUCGUCGGUCAAUAUAAUCUGAACAGGUCUGCGUCCGUGUACAUUUACGCCAAACAUUUGUUAUUUUGAAAUUACAAAUAGAUUUAGCAAACUGACCGUCCAAAUAUAUAUAAUGUGUUGUCUUCCUCAAAAAUCUUUCAUUUAAUUAUUAUAAUAUGUAUAAAGAGUGUACGUAUUAUGGGAAUGAAAUUUAAUGUUUUAGACAAAGUUCAUCAUAUACUAGUAUAUUGUUUAACGAACAUAUUAAAACACUUGUUAUUACAUUCUUAAAACAUAACAGAACAUAUUCCUCAUAUGUGGUAAACUUAUCUAUUAGAUAUAAGAAGAUGUGGUAUAUAUGUUUGAGUGCCAAUGAGACAAAUCUCCAUCCAAGUCACAAUUAAUAAAAAUAAACAAUUAUAGAUCAAGGUACAGUCUUCAACACGGAACCUUGGCUCACACCGAACAGCAAGCUACAAAGGACCCAAGCUAUAAAGGACCCAAAAAUAUUACCAGUGUAAAACCAUUCCCACGGGAAAACUAACGGUAUAAUCUAUAUAAACAACGAGAAACGAGAAACACUUAUGAACCACAUAAACAAACGACAACCACUAUUACGUUUAGAUGAACAUCAUGAGUGCAAAGAUAGAGGUGGGAACAAAUGAAGAUACACGUAUCUCCUUGUAUCUGUGACUUACUGUCUAAUAAACUUCAUUCUAGAUCUAUUUCCUCUAAUUCUGUCAACAUUUAUAUUUGGUGAUAAAAAUUUAAAUUUUCCACUUCACUGUUGUUUCUUUUCGUGAUGGAUAUUUUACUUUAAUCAGCUUUUGUGGUCCACGACAAACUGACCACUCAUAUUAACUGAUAAAUGUACAAGUAUUCGUAAAGUGUACUACGGAAACCUUUUAGGGCCAUGCUUGUCUACUUUUUGCAAUUUGAUAUAACAAACUAUAAAGUUGAUAUAACAAAUUAAUGAUUUGAUAUAACAAAUUAAUGAUUUGAUAUAACAAAUUAUUAUUUUGAUAUAACAAAUUAUCAGUUUGAUAUAACAUAUUUUCGAUUUUGAUAUAACAAGCUAUUAAUUUGAUAUAACAGAUUAUCAAUAUGAUAUAAUACAUUAUCAAUUUGAUAUAACAAAUUAUCAAUUUGAUAUAACAAAUUAUCAAUUGAUAUAACAAAUUAUCAAUUUGAUAUAACAAAUUAUCAAUUUGAUAUAAUAAAUUAUUAAAGUGAAUAACCCGAACUGGCGCAUUUCGUUGUAUAAUCUGACGUCCAGUAACAAAUUAUAAUGCAUUUUCAAAACUCAAUUACAGGUUAAAUGUUUCUAUAACAACGCUCCCCCCCUUUCCCUUUUAUUUGAGACAAUUUCGGACUUCUUUCUCAAUUCGAAUAUGGGACCUGGUGCGUAGAACGAACAAAUAUAAUAGAGAAAAGGGGAGUCUAUUUGAGAAAUUUAUAUACAUAUUUUUCAUGUCAAAGCGAAAGGAAGAGUUCUAUUGAGAUGUUAGUUUUUUAGGAACAUAGGAACAUGCAAGGAUAAACAAUAAUGCUCUUUCUUCUUCAAAAAACCCCUGAACAUGUUGCUUUAUUAAAUCAAUAGGAGCAUGUUUAAUCCCGCUGCAAAACGUUUGCACCUGUCCUAAGUCCUGGAAUCUAAUGUACAGUAGUUGUUGUUUGUUUAUUGUAAUUUAUACGUGUUCUCAUUUAUAAAUUUUUUUAUAUAGAUAAGACCCUUGGUUUUCCCGUUUGAAUGGUUUACACUAAGUAAUGUUUGAGGCCCUUUAUAGCUUGCUGUUCGGAUGUGAUCUUAGGCUCCGUGUUGAAGGCCGUACAUUGACCUAAAAAAUAGUUUACUUUUAACAAAUGUUAACUCGAUGAGAGUUGACUCAUUGCACUCUAACACAUGGUACAUCUCCUACAUUUUAUGAAAAAAAGAAUUUAUAAAACAUUCCUCAAUUCAUCAAUGCAUUUGUCUUAAAUAAAUUUGUUUCAAAAAAUAAUUUUUAUUUUGAUUUUUUAUUAAAAUAAACCUGCGUGAGAUUUUGAAAUGGAUAUGGAAUUCAAUUUCUGUUAAAAAAAGACCACACAAGUAUAAUCUGAGCCACCUUAUAACGUUGUAAUAUAUAGAAAAAGGAUUUCAGAUCAUGAGUAAUUGCCAAACACAUUUAGGUCCUUUAAUCUCUAAAACGCUAAAAACGUUUCACUUAUUAAUAUAUAUCAUUUAUGUUAAAUAGAGAAGGGGGAUAACCGUUAUCCAUGCAUAAGUAAUUUGACAUAUCAAAUUCCUUUUUGUUAUAUCAAAUUUAAAAUUUGUUAUAUAAAUAAUUAUAUCUGUUAUAAUCACAGUAAUAAUCUGUUAUAUCAAAUUGAUAAUCUGUUAUAUCAAAUAUAUCUGUUAUAUCAAAAUCAAAAAUGUUAUAUCAAAUUAAUAUCUGUUUAUCAAAUUGAUAUCUUAUAUCAAAAAAAUAAUCUGUUAUAUCAAAAUCGAAAAUCUGUUAUAUCAAAUUUAUAAUUUGUUAUAUCAAAUUGUAAAAAGUAGACUAGCAUGGCCCUAAAAGGCUUCCAUAGUAAAGCAUAUUUACUCCUAUCAGUUUCUGUGGUCCACGACAAACUGACAAACUUAUCUUAACGGAUAUAUUUUCAAGUAUUCUUGAUCCAUAUUUUACUCUUAUCAGUAAAUAAAUUAGACUUAUGAUUAUAGACAGACAUUAAUCUGUAAUCAGAUAUCCUGUUCAAAUUAGGAUUUUGUCUCUCCUGAUAAAUAACAAAAACAAUAAUCAAAGAGACAAGGCUAAUAGUUUUGAAUUCAAUUCUUGUGUUUCGUUUGCAUACGACUCGUAAUUGGAAGUACACACAUUACUUAUUUGCUUUCAUAGUUAAAUGUUUCGGAAAAAAAAAAUAGUUUCCUUAUGUGCGUUGUGGCACCUUUAAAUUCCACAAUUCCUCUAAAGUCCACAACACCGCUUAAGUCCACAACUAUUUUCCGCUAAAGUCCACAACGCCGUUGAAGUCGACAAAAUCUUCGCGGCUAAAAGUCCACAAAAUGACGGUGGGGUCCGCCAAAGUCCACAACAGAAAAUCCGCCGUUAAAAGUCCACAAAGCAUACGUUCCGCUAAAGUCCACAUAAAAAGUCGACCGUUAAAGUCCACACUCAUUUUUUUUAUGUUAAAAACCACAUAGUAUUUCAUUAUUUAUCUCGUAGUAUAAUACUAAAGCACUGUGGCCUUCUUCUCGUAAGGUAUGUCACGUUUUACUGCAGUUUGAUACAAAUGAAAAAAGUAAAGUAUCGAUAUGAUUCUUGUAUUUCCAUUAAUUAUUAAUCUUUGAAUGAAUGGAUGGCCAAGUUUGGACAUCAUUUCCAAAAAAUUGUAAAUCGCUUAGUUUCAUUAUUUUCUGGGCAUUCGUACAAGUACAUUUUUCUCUUAUUAUCUUGGUUGCAUAUAAUCUAAUUUUUGACAUAAAUUAAUGUACAAGCAAAAGGCUGCCUUUUCCUAAUUUUAUAAUAUUGAACGGCAUUCAUUCAGGCAACAUGUCUUGGAUUAUAUUCAUUAAACAAAAAAUUACCUAAGUUUAUAGAAUUCCCAAAGGUCACCGUUUGUCGCAAAACUUUUAACAAAGUUAACGUUACUUAUUAAAUUUCGGUGUUCGUUAUAGAAACAACUGAAAAUAAUGUGUUAUGAUUUUUCAGAACGAAAAUGAAGUCAAAGUAUGAGAAAUUUUACAUAAAAAAAAUGCGUAUGCUUUAAAUAUAUUUUAUCGAUUGCUCGGCUAUCGAUGCGUUGAAUAUGGGUCCUGAAACCAAACGUAACACCUAAGUACCUGGUUAUCGAUAUAGGAAGUUGUGGAGCGCCAUGAGAUAUCUCUAUCCAAGAAGUUAAAUUAUAUAUUAAAGUAAAACCCAGUAGAGCGUCAAGUUCGGGCCUCAACACGAACUUGGCUCAUGUGCACGAACAUGCAAGCUAUAAAGGUCCCUGGGUCAAAAAUGCAGUAGUGUAAACCCAUCUCAAACGAGAAAACAAUGCCCAAUAAAUGGCUUAAAAAAAUAUACAUACUUCUAGUUGUUUAUUUGGUUGAAAUGUUUAAUCACAUGUAAAUCUACCACGAAGAUUCAUUCUUGUAGUCAAACUCAACAAACGCUAAAUCUGUCACAGUAACCAAAAAAAUUAUUGAAAAGAAACAGAACAUUCUUUGAUAUAGGUGUAAUAUUAUAUCGUUAAAGUCAGCUUGAAAAUUUCAUACAAUCUUCCAUUUAGCUUUCAAAAUACUAAAAAAAGUAUCUUGAAACGAGCAUAAAGAAAGGAAUUUAACUCUGAUAGCGAUAAACGUAACUUGAUGUGACUCGUAUUAUCAAUCAAUGAUCACUAUAGGAAUAGUUUAAACCAAUAAAUGUUGUUUCGGUGGCUGAAUGCAAGGAUGACGUCCUAUCGUUAUUCUAUAUCACAUCCUGUCUUUAUCAUAUCUUAUCACCCUUCCAAUGCCUGCAUAGCACAUUCAUUUAAUUAGUUCUUGAUUUUCUCAUCACACAAAGACAUCAGCAAGUGAAUUGCAAAUAAAAAAAUAUACAUUGACGGCAUUUACAGUGGAUUUUCACAAACGUCUAUUUGUGAAAGCGUAAAGAAUUGUUUGAAGUAUAUAUUUGUUAUUUGGUCACAGUUCGUUCUGUUUACUUUUCUUCUGUUAUUGUUUUCUCUGUGGUGCACAAUGCAAAUUUUUGAUAAAACUAUAUAAAUUUCUUUGUGGAUAUCAUCAGAAAAUUGACAAUCAACGCUUCAAAAUAGAUAUAUUACCAAAUAAACAAAUAAGCCUAUGAGAGUUCUGCUUCUAUUGGUACUAAUUUUGAUUAAAAUUUACAUGAAAUAGUCUCUAAAUAUUUGUUAUGAAAAAAAAAACGUAGAUUUUCAUGAUAUAUAUAACAAUUAGUUGUAGGUGACAAAUACUUCUGACCAUUAUACUCUAAGUUAGCUUGACGGUUUUUGAAGUACAACGUCCCUAAAUGUUCUAAAAACUUAUCUUCCAAAAUAUACAUGUAUGUACUUCCAUAACUGCAAUUGCAAUUUGAGCAUUUGAACUCAAUUUCAUACUAAAAAAUAUAGCGUCACUUUUUUAUUUGGUUAAAGUUUCUAUUUAAUUUUCUCACUCUUGACAUAUGCACAUGUAUGGUCGACCUCGUACAGUACGAGCAUACGUUCAGGUAUACUUAUGUGGUCCAGACCGUACGCGUACAGUUCAAAUACUUAUAUUGUAUGGAACAUAUAUACAUGUAGCAUUGUUGAAAUGCAUUUUUUAUACUUGAACUCAUCAUGGAUAAUACACAAUACAGAACCACAGCCGCGUAUAAUUUAUUCAAUUCAUCGUUCAUUCUGAAACAAAUUUUGAAUUGUUUUACAUUGUCUUAUCGGGGCCUUUUAUAGCUCACUAUGCGGUAUGGGCUUUGCUCAUUGUUGAAGGCCGUCGGUGACUAUAGUUUUUAAUCGGGGGUCUGGUGUCUAUGUUGGUCCUUUGUGGAUAGUUGUCUCAUUGGCGAAUCAACCUACAUCUUUUUUUUUUAAUCAUUUUACUUUUUGAAAACAAAAACAAACAUGCAAACAAAAGAGUGAUGAAAUCUGCUUACAAACCCAAAAGCAUGAACUUGCGGUAUCUUUCAUUAUUUGAAUUUCAAACAAGAAACAUGCAUGGUCAAGGUCCUUAUUUUGAGAUUUACCGUGACGUUUUUGGGCUGCUCGUGGAGGCUUUUACAGACACUCGAUGGAAUCGUACUUAGUUUAUAGAUUAUUUGCAAAGGAGAGUUUACCCAUGUCAAAUAUAGGUUCCAAUUAUGUCCUCUGCAGCAAAAAUACAUAAGAAACGCUAUCACUGGGGUAGCUGAAUGACCGUAACUGCAUUCACGGUCAUCCCAAGAUGUCGGAUGAAAAAUUAGGUCAGUUUCUGUAUUGUCUAUUAAAGUGUUUCUAUAUCAUUUUCUUUACAAAUCAUACAUUGAAACGAUGAAAAUUUAUAAAAGAUUCACUCGAAAAUCACUAAUUACUUCCGAGAAAUGUGCAUGAAACGGGAAAUUCGAUUUGAAAAAAUCGUGAAGAUGACCGUAAAUCAUAAUCAAAAUAUUUUCAAGAUGACCGUAACAUAUAUUAUCCCCGGCUUAGUAUAUACAGGAUUUUGAUUGGUUAAACGGCCACGUCGUUACAAAACCCAUAGCCCCUGGGUGUGCGAACGCCAUAUCUCCGGACGUUGCUAACCAUAUUCCGGGAAUUCACGCAAGUUUUGCGUUAGUUCCAGUGAUUGCUCUUUGAAAUAUGUGAGAUUCUUAGAUUAACCAUAAUGUGUGUAAUUAAAUAUUUAUUCAUUAACAGAUUUGUCACUAUACUAGUAUGCCAGAUUAUGUUACAUUCAUUUCAUUAAAUGCGAUCACUUGACUGCUAACAUAUUCAAGAAUGAACUACUCGACCUAGCUAUGCAAAUGACCCAACGUGACGUCACAAACCAUCUAUGGCGUAACGCCAUCAACCAUUGAGCUGCCAAAUUGACUCUAUCCAGUUCUCUGUCUCUGUAUUAAACUGACUUAUAUUUUACUACCUGUAGGUUCUACCGAAAGUGUUAGUAACCCGUACAUCCCGGUAAAAAAUAUUAAAAAUUCCAAAUUUUCAAAAAACUUUUUUAGAUAGAAAAAAACGUGUGUUUCGCGUUACAUUUUGUACCCGAUUUCCAUAAAACUCGCCCGAUCGGCGUAAAGAACCGGGAUAAAUUUCGUUAUCUACCGCUUCAUAUCCGUAGAUAACUUAUAAUCAUUUUUCAUUAUAUCUGUCAAGUGUCAUUUUAUCUGCGCUAUUGUAGUCAUGUUUUCCUACCUGUUUAUUUGCCUGUCUUUUUGCAAAAUUUUUCACCAAAAUUAAACUCACAGUAAAAAAGAUACAUAGGUAAACAUUUGCCUUUGAAGCAACGUCUUAAUUUGUCUUGUCUACUACUAGAUAAUCACCUCACAUAGAUUAAUAUGUUUAUACACAACCACGAUUUAUUAUUUGUACAAAAAGGUAGUUUAUAUUAAAUAUGCGGAUAUUUCUUCAGAAUUGAGGGUCAUCCUUUAAAUGUUACGUCAUCGCAUUACAAAUUAAACGUCACUUAAACCAAUUACGUCACCCUUGUUAUAAUCGCUGUUCGUACGGUCAUUCUCGAUUUUGAUUUUACGGUCAGCUUCACGAUUUUUAAAUUCGAAAUUCCUUGUUUCAUGCACAUCUCUCUUAGUAUAGUGGAUUUCCGUGUGAUCUUUAUAAAUUUUCAUCGUUUCAAAUGUAGAUUUGUCAAAGAAAAUGAUAAUAGAAACACUUAACAGACAGAUACAGAAAACUGACACUAAGUUUUCAUAGACGACAUCUUGGAUGACCGUGAAUGCAGUUUACGGUCAUUAGCUUUACCCCAGUGGCUAUGUUGGAGUUUCUUGUGGAUGGACAAAUGUUUACUUAAGAAUAAAAAGAGUAUAAUAGCUACAUAAUUUUUCAGAAAUGUUGUCUGUUUGAUUGAUAGAAAAUCGCAAAACAAAUAUCAAAUUUACGGUGAUAAAGCAAAUAUUAUAAUCUUCAUUCAUCAAAAAUAUAAUUUAUGCUGACAAGAUAUACUUUCUUAGAACAAAAGUCCAUGCUUUUAAUUAGAUCUAUAAUAACGGGUGUAAAAAACAGAAAAUUGAUCUUUUGAUAAUAAAAAAAAGAUUUUUUGGACUUUAACGGUGCUUUUUUGUGGACUUUAGCGGAACUUGCUAUUGUGGACUUUAACGGCGUUUUCUUGUGGACUUUAGCGGAGGUAAUUUUGUGGACUUUAGCGGAAAGUUUGUGGACUUCAACGGCGUUGUGGACUUUAGCGGAAAAUUGUUGUGGACUUUAGCGGUGUUGUGGACUUUAGGUGAAUUGUGGACUUUAACGGUGCCACAGUGCGUAAAUUACUGUAUAAUAACAUAGCAUUUUCGACGACAAUUCAGUAUUCCUUUCAACUACCGUGGCCAACGAUUGAAAUGCUUCAUUAAACUGUUAAAUAUAAAAGUCCAUUUUUUCAAUGAUUUGUAUGAACAAAAUAAUUGCAAAUUCAAUUGAUUUUUUCAAUUUUUUCGGUGUUGUGUUAAAAAAAUCUUUGUAUACAUCUACCAAGAAAUAGUAUAUUCCUUUAUAUACACUUUGAUGACCAAACUAGUGAUCAGUGUGGUGUACAUGCACUUCUUAUGACAACUUAUGAAAUAACGAUUACUAAGUCAUUGAAAUUACUUUUUUUUUUUUUAUCAGAAGUGGAUUUAUGUGGUAACAUGUUAUGUCACCUGAUGAA
rnacentral:lncRNA from 1 species